UGUGUUGGACAGGGGAGAGAGGGAGAAAGAGAGAGAGAGAGAGAGAGAAAGAGACGUUUGUUUGUCCUCCGUUCCCUUCGUCUCGUUCCUCCUCCUUCUUCUUCACUCGUUCGUAGGUAGGUAGCUAGGUAGCUGGCCCUACAGAAGGGGUUCGUUCGCGUCCCUCUACCUAGACUACUUCGACAGAGAUCAGAGUGGAUGAAGUAAGAAACAUAGACUACGAAAACACUCCUAACAAACUAAGUACAAAUUAUCGAUCGAACGAAGAUAACUCACCAGUCCUACUACUCGCUAAUGUUCCACCUGUACUAGUUGCUGCCCUACGUGCUCAAGAAGCAGGUGAAGGUGCCCGGGUUUCUGUGGAUUCUAACUUUUGAACACCUACUCCCAGUUCGCUUGCUCCGUGCCCUCACUAUGCUCCGACUAAAUUAAGGAAGCGCAGAAUGAGUAAACCUUUAAGAUUUUAGCGAUUCUACGGGUUAUGUGGACCUUCCUCCCUCAUGAUGUGUAACAUGAUGAUGAUCACGAACAGACAAGUCGACAGUUCAAAAGAGAAGGGGUGACAGAGUCAUGGUCACCUUCGCUUACUACGACGUAACGGUAUGUGAGAUGACGAGGGAGGCAGGGUUUUAUUCCCAGCGUUUUAGUCGGUCGUUGUGAUUCAUCAUCGUUUAUUUGAGACGUGUAUGUCUAAUGUGUCAUAAAUGGUCCCACCACACACCUUCCACUCCCAACUCGAGUGUCUUCGAAUGGGGAUGUUUAGGGGAAGGUAACCGAAGUGGUUGUUCUAGAUAGUGGGUUUACAACUACUCUACAGGCCAAGCCAGACGAACCUACACUAGUUGGUCUGGACCUCGGGUUACAAGCUGGAACACUUAUAGAAACUCCACAAGGACGGGGUCGAAGAGGAGAUGGGCUUGGGGAGCCUGGGGAACUUGCCGCUCCGCCGAAGCGAGUACUACGCGCUGUUCUUACGGAUACUUUUAUUUCAGUUUCUUAUAACACUCUCUAUACGGUUCGGACUUCUGUAUAGGGGCCUCCUCCUCCUCCUCCUCCUCCUCCUCUCGCUGCUCCUCGACUCGCUGCGGCUCCCGAUGCUGAGGCCGCUGCUCCGGUAGUACCCAGUGCGUCUGGGAACUGACCACCUACCUACCUACCAAUCGAGUCAGUCAUUGAGUCAUUACGUCCUACUAGUAAAGUACAUAGAGACAGUCAGACAGACAUGUAUCGACGCCGCGAGUGGCUUACGGCGGUACCGUCUACGACUUCUUUCAGUAGUCGGUAGAGUUGAGUCAAAGUCAAGGGGAUCGAGAGCACAGCGCAGCAACAACAACAACAGCAGUAGCAGCAGUAGGGACACUUAUUGAACGGUAAACAAACACAACCAAGGUAAACGUCAAGUACAAAGGUAAGAUCCCCUACAGAGAAGACAAGACAAUUAAGUAAAAGUCAAGUACAAUGAUGACAUACAGGUCGACUUAAAUUUAGAGGAGACGUACAGGUCGACUUAAGUUUAAAGGUGGGAAGUUUUUUCAUG
rnacentral:rRNA from 1 species